ACAAAGACCCUCAAACUCUCCUGAAUCUGGCCCCCGACCCACUCCUGUCUGAGACACAGGUGAACCUACCAACUUAUCCUGCCAUGACUCUCAAUGAGUUAAUCCACUUGUGCUUUUACAUGGCAUCUUAAACAACCCUGGCUCUGACACAGAUAGUCAUACACGCUCAUCCUGCACUACUUCCCCGUGAAGUUUUUUUUUCCCAUUCCCACAUGGCAUUUAUAGUUCUGACACAGACUGGCAUGCAUGAUCAUUCUGCCCUUCCCCCCACACCCUUCCAGCACAAUUGCCUGCAUACAUUUUCACAUGUUUCCACGGACACCCCUUGGUUAGGCACAGAUUGAAACACAUUCUGCUCUUCCUCCCAGCAAAGUUGCCCUGGCAAACUUUCACCUUGUACCACAGACAACUCUGGUUUUGGCAAAACCUGGCACACAUGCUCAUUCUGCCCUCCCAGCAACUUUGUCUUGGCACACUCUCACAUGAUAUUGCAGACACCCCCCCCGCCACCCCCUCACUCUCUCACAGCAAGGUAGUCUAUGUACACUUUUACAUACUGCCCUCCGCAC